GAGAUUAAACGUGGAACUAGGAAUUG
rnacentral:piRNA from 1 species